rnacentral:rRNA from 1 species
CGCGGCGGGCGGGGCGGGGGCACGGGGGGAACGCGAAGAACCUUACCUACUCUUGACAUCCAGAGAACUUAGCAGAGAUGCUUUGGUGCCUUCGGGAACUCUGAGACAGGUGCUGCAUGGCUGUCGUCAGCUCGUGUUGUGAAAUGUUGGGUUAAGUCCCGCAACGAGCGCAACCCUUAUCCUUUGUUGCCAGCGGUUAGGCCGGGAACUCAAAGGAGACUGCCAGUGAUAAACUGGAGGAAGGUGGGGAUGACGUCAAGUCAUCAUGGCCCUUACGAGUAGGGCUACACACGUGCUACAAUGGCAUAUACAAAGAGAAGCGACCUCGCGAGAGCAAGCGGACCUCAUAAAGUAUGUCGUAGUCCGGAUUGGAGUCUGCAACUCGACUCCAUGAAGUCGGAAUCGCUAGUAAUCGUAGAUCAGAAUGCUACGGUGAAUACGUUCCCGGGUCUUGUACACACCGA